GGUUCGGUGGUCUAGGGGUAUGAUUCUCGCUUAGGGUGCGAGAGGUCCCGGGUUCAAAUCCCGUCCGAACCC
rnacentral:tRNA from 1 species